CUGGGGCCCACUAGCAUGGCAGGAGCUGGUUUUCAAAAGGUGUAAUUCUCCACUGCGUGUCAUGGCUUUACUCUGGAACCUAGGGAUCUGCGAUGCUACUUACGCAUUAGAGUUGCUAUCACCUCUACGUGGAGUAUUUUCCCAUGAUGGAUACCUCUAAUAACAUAGGACUACCAGGUCAUACGGCCCAAGCAGGAGGGAAGCUCGCACCACUGCCUGAAUCUGCUCCAGAACCCUUUUCUACUCUGGGCCCCAACUCAAAAUUGGCACCUUUCAAGCCAUCAGUAUAUGUUAAGAGCAGAAUUCCCAGGUGUGGAAUAUUCUGCUUCUGAAACCCAAAGACGCCUACCAGGCAUUAUGCUUCCUUCUUCAUCGUGGAAGGUACAAGAUGCAAUAACUUACCAUUUGCAAGAGAUGUGCCAGCAUGCCCCAGACUACUGGACCCUAAAAGUCUUAACUGAUAUGGCGGGCCCCUGAAUCUUUGUAGCGUUUAUCUCCCACCCUCCAGAAUGCAUGUAUCUUGCCGUGACCUUUUGUGUACUAGCCACUUCUUACUUCUCCAGUCUGAUUAGCAUGAUCACAUCAAUAUAGUGGGCCAGUGUAGUUUUGUGAGUGGUCCAGCCAGUCCAAAUCUCUUCAGAGGCUAUGAUGACAGAGCGUGUGAGAAUUAACAUAGCUCUAGGGCCAGACCAAGAUGUAUACUGUUGUCUCUUCCAAGCGAAUAUCAACUAUUUCUGAUCUUCUCUCCUGACUGGGUUAGAAAAGACUGCUUUCAACAAUCAGUGGCCGUGUGUCAUGUGCCUGAGACCAUGUUUAUCUGUUCUAGCAAAGAUGCCACAUCUGAUACACCAUCUGCGAUUGGGGUUCUUACUUGGUUGAGUUUAUAGUAGUACACUCUGAAGAUAAAUCAAGUUACAUCAAAAAUAGUUCAUGUUUGCAGGGGCCAAACUGUCAGAUGAUAUGAAGAGAGAAUGGGGACCACUGCCCCUCAUUCUGUAGGUCUUUAACAGUGUGACUGGUUUCUGCCUUCCCCCUCCCAGAGCUGGAGGGCCAAUCUCCAAAGCUUGUGCUCAGCCUUCCUACUACCAUAGUUCUAACCCUACAGGCCAGGGAGCCAGAGUUCUUCCUCUUGAAGACUCAAGAGUUUCAGUCUGAAAACUGGCCCAGACCCAGACAUUGGACAAGGGAUCAUGGCUGGAUAUUGGAGCGACUGCCCUCAGCCUCCUAAUCACCCAUCCUUGGAUUAUUUUGAUUGUACAGAUUGAGUAGCCCACUUGUUGGCUGCCCAUCUGUUUCACCCCGGGGAUCCCUUGUUCUGUGAACUGUCUCCAAAACUCACCAGGAACAGGCUGACCACAGGCAGGAAACACACCUAUAAGGUAUCCAUCACAGCUGACAGAAGGAGGGAACAAUAAAAGACCCUGGAGUCCAUCAUGCCUUAAGGGAAUCCCCUCCUUACUGUCCAUUUUCCCUAUAAAACUGCCUCAAGAUUCCGUAAUUUUUGAAGAUGGUUUUUUUGAGACAUUAGCCUGCCAUCUUUCCAAUUAUGCGGGCUAAUUGAAUGAAAACUUCCUUCCUCCAUCCCUGACUUGUCAUGAUUAAUUGGCUCAGAUCAUGGUGAGCAGAACGAGCCCACUGCUUGGUAUCAGACGUGGCGCUAGGGGAGGGAGAUGUUUGGCGCUGCCGACCCUCAAGGAAGACCUCGGCACCCCAGAGAGCUGUCCAGCUGGGGUGGCCCUUCCGAGUCGUGGUAAAUGCAGGCAAGGGGGCCUGGCCUUUAUACUCCCAUACUGAUCAGGCUGGAUGUGGGCUUCCAGGAGGGGGCCAUGAUCUUGGGCAAGGCAGUCUUCAGUGGAGGCAGUUCCAAAGAAGGUUGACAGCUGAGGGGGCCGUGGCUGACAGCAUUCCCAGCAGCUGGGGGAAUGUGUCCUUCAGUCCUGCUGAAGGGUCAUCCAGGAGGCACAUCACAGCUCCCGCUACACCACAGUACCAUUAUCUCAUGCAGCAAACUCAAGACUGAUACAAUAAUAUUAUCC
rnacentral:lncRNA from 1 species